UCUUAGUACAAAUUUAACUAAAGUAAAACCGCAAAAUGCUCAUUAAACUAGUUAUAGUUUACUAGAAUAAAAAUUUUGAAUGGAUAACUGUGGUAAUUCUAGAGCUAAUACAUGCAAUCAAGUUUUGCCCAAUAUUGGGAAAAACGCUUUUAUUAGAUCAAAACCAAUCGAAUAGUUUACUAUUCGUAAUUUUGAUGACUCUGAAUAACACCACAGAUCGCACAGUCUUUGUACUGGCGACAUAUCUUUCAAAUGUCUAACUUAUCAACUGUCGAUGGUAGAUUAUAUGUCUACCAUGGUGAUAACGGGUAACGGGGAAUCAGGGUUCGAUUCCGGAGAGGGAGCCUGAGAAACUGCUACCACAUCCAAGGAAGGCAGCAGGCACGCAAAUUACCCACUCCCGGCACGGGGAGGUAGUGACAAAAAAUAACGAUACGGGACUCAUCCGAGGCCCCGUAAUCGGAAUGAGUACACUUUAAAUCCUUUAACAAGGAUCAAUUGGAGGGCCAGUCUGGUGCCAGCAGCCGCGGUAAUUCCAGCUCCAAUAGCGUAUAUUAAAGUUGUUGCGGUUAAAAAGCUCGUAGUUGGUUCUGUGUGCCAUGCUGUUGGUUCACCGCCUGCCGGUGUAACUGACAUGUCAUGGGACGUCCUGUCGGUGGUAAUUAAAAACUUAUCAUUUUGAUAUUAGGUUUACCUUUUAUUUUAAAUAUAAGUUCUUUUAAUUACCGAUUAAUACCCGCCGCGGUGCUCUUUACUGAGUGUCGAGGUGGGCCGACACGUUUACUUUGAACAAAUUAGAGUGCUUAAAGCAGGCAAAUGUCUGCCUAAAUAGUGGUGCAUGGAAUAAUAGAAUAAGACCUUGAUUCUAUUUUGUUGGUUUCCUGAAUUCAAGGUAAUGAUCAAUAUGGACAGUCGGGGGCAUUCGUAUUGCGGCGUAGAGGUGAAAUUUGAUCGUCGCAGACGACUAAGCGAGUGCAUUUGCCAAGUAUGUCUUAAUUGAUCAAGAACGAAAGUUAGAGGUUCGAAGGCGAUCAGAUACCGCCCUAGUUCUAACCAUAAACGAUGUCAACUAGCGAUCCGUCGAUGUUUUUUUCAUGACUCGACGGGCAGCUUCCGGGAAACCAAAGCUUUUGGGUUCCGGGGGAAGUAUGGUUGCAAAGCUGAAACUUAAAGGAAUUGACGGAAGGGCACCACAAGUAGUGGAGCCUGCGGCUUAAUUUGACUCAACACGGGAAACCUCACCAGGCCCAGACAUUGGAAGGA
rnacentral:rRNA from 1 species